rnacentral:rRNA from 1 species
AUUGAACGCUGGCGGCGUGCUUAAGACAUGCAAGUCGAACGCAGUCUUCGGACUGAGUGGCGCACGGGUGAGUAACACGUAACUGACCUACCCCCAAGUCGCGAAUAACCAGCCGAAAGGAUGGCUAAUACGUGCUGUAAUGAUCCGCUGUGGCGGAUCAUUAAAGACUUGAUCGCUUGGGGAUGGGGUUGCGUUCCAUCAGCUAGUUGGUAAGGUAAAGGCUUACCAAGGCAACGACGGAUAGCCGGCCUGAGAGGGUGGCCGGCCACAGGGGCACUGAGACACGGGUCCCACUCCUACGGGAGGCAGCAGUUAGGAAUCUUCCACAAUGGGCGCAAGCCUGAUGGAGCGACGCCGCGUGAGGGAUGAAGGUUCUCGGAUCGUAAACCUCUGAACCAACGACGAAAGACCCGACAAGGGAGAUGACGGUAGUUGGGUAAUAGCACCGGCUAACUCCGUGCCAGCCGCCGCGGUAAUAC